CGCUGUACAGUGAUAGUCAACCCAGCCAGCGUAUUGGAAAUGGAUAGCGGCGCAGUGCUCAUUUUUCUGCCAAUCGUUUGGUUCUCCUUUAUGCCAGUUUUGAUAACCAAGGUGCAGAAAGAUCAAAUUUAAUUGGCAAAAACUCAGAGGGAUGAACACUGACCUUCCAUUAUCUUUCUAUUCUUUAAUUUUCCGUGAAAUCGAUGUAUCAUAUUUAACAUACCUGAUGUUGGCUGUACCAGAGCAACAGUAAACACCAAAAGUAGAUACCAUGGACUAUCCAUUUUGCAGUUCUGUUUCACUUUUGGAUAUGGA